UAUUAUUAUGUGCCAAAACCACUCCAAGCUUCUCUUGAAUGUCUGCAACUAGAUAGAAAGUAUGCAGAAAUUAUAAUGAACGUAUAUAUUUUUAAAUAAUUGCCCUUUUUUUCUGGCCUGCAAACAAAUCAAUCCUCAAAAAUCUGUGCGGCCACCCUUUGAAUUUCGAAAACGAGCCAAAACGUUUGCCCACCACAGAGGGAAGGAGGAGUAUUGUGGUCAAGUACAUCCAUACAGGAUUUACACUAGUGUUUUACCCAAUUUACCCUAGUGUUUUUACCCAAAAGGAUCAGACUUUUAUGUUUCCACCUACGCAGGCUGACACCCCUGUCGUCUGACUGGGUCAUGGCUUCGGUGGACCUUCUCUCACCUGGGGCCAAAGCCAGGCCACUGGUACUUUUAACCCUGCAUUUACAUAACAAUGGCCAACUGUGAACUUUAACAUCUCACAAAGCAACUGUUUUGAUUAUGCAGAGGUUGUUGAUUCUGCUCUUACAGUGUUGUUACAGUGUAACAACAGCAUCGUGUUGUAUUGAAAGACAGGGUGGAGGACCAAGCUAUUUACACCAUCUUUCUUACACCUGUUUAUUCAUUGUAAAUCCAUGAAGGGAAUGAAUGAGAGAACACUGUGGAGAAGGAGAGAGAAUUAGAUAUGUUGUAAUUCUCUAUUUGAUGGGCCUCAUUCUGUUAUGAGCCUCGUAGACUACAUGUUUACCAUCUAUGAUAUGAUGUCCACCAUAGUCUCUUGCUCUAACCAGCCUAGCCUUCUGAGAAGCCUGACUGCGUCUCACCUGUCUGUCACUUAUUCAUUACUUUCCCCCAUUUGAAUCAAAAAGAGUUGUAUUUCUGUUCUCUGAGAAGUUGUGUGAACGUAGCUAGGGAAGUGGGCUGGGGUAAGAAUGUCAUAGUUACUGUUGCUUAGGCCCAAUAGUUAUUUUAGGAUGUUUAAGGUCAGGGUUAAUAAUUCACUAGUUACACCUGUUGACUUGUUGGAGUUACAUUUCCCUUAUAUUCCAUGUGACCCAACCAGGAACAUCUCUGGGUCAUAGUUAUAGCCUGUCUGUUUUUCCUGGUCAGGGCAUGUGUUGCCUGGAAGGCUUACCUCUGCAAGGGUUCCAAUACAUAGCUUUCACCUGUCAAUUCAAUGUCAGUUCAGUGAGGUGAAGGAGGGGAGGAAGGAGGCCCAAUGUGUAACCCAGUUUAGACUGAGGUCUGAGGGGAGGAAAGAGGCCCGUUGUGUAACCCAGUUUAGACUGAGGUCUGAGGGGAGGAAGGAGGCCCGUUGUGUAACCCAGUUUAGACUGAGGUCUGAGGGGAGGAAGGAGGCCCGUUGUGUAACCCAGUUUAGACUGAGGUCUGAGGGGAGUAAAGAGGCCCGUUGUGUAACCCAGUUUAGACUGAGGUCUGAGGGGAGGAGGGUGGCCUGUUGUGUAACCCAGUUUAGACUGAGGUCUGAGGGGAAGGAGGCCCGUUGUGUAACCCAGUUUAGACUGAGGUCUGAGGGGAGGAAGGAAGGAGGCCCAUUGUGUAACCCUGUUUAGACUGAGGUCUGAGGGGAGGAGGGAGGCCUGUUGUGUAACCCAGUUUAGACUGAGGUCUGAGGGGAGGGAGGAAGGAGGCCCAUUGUGUAACCCUGUUUAGACUGAGGUCUGAGGGGAGGAGGGAGGCCUGUUGUGUAACCCAGUUUAGACUGAGGUCUGAGGGGAGGAAGGAGGCCCGUUGUGUAACCCAGUUUAGACUGAGGUCUGAGGGGAGGAAGGAGGCCCGUUGUGUAACCCAGUUUAGACUGAGGUCUGAGGGGAGGGAGGAAGGAGGCCCAUUGUGUAACCCUGUUUAGACUGAGGUCUGAGGGGAGGAGGGAGGCCUGUUGUGUAACCCAGUUUAGACUGAGGUCUGAGGGGAGGAGGGAGGCCUGUUGUGUAACCCAGUUUAGACUGAGGUCUGAGGGGAGGAGGGAGGCCUGUUGUGUAACCCAGUUUAGACUGAGGUCUGAGGGGAGGAAGGAGGCCCGUUGUGUAACCCAGUUUAGACUGAGGUCUGAGGGGAGGAAGGAGGCCUGUUGUGUAACCCAGUUUAGACUGAGGUCUGAGGGGAAGGAGGCCCGUUGUGUAACCCAGUUUAGACUGAGGUCUGAGGGGAGGAGGGAGGCCUGUUGUGUAACCCAGUUUAGACUGAGGUCUGAGGGGAGGAGGGUGGCCUGUUGUGUAACCCUGUUUAGACUGAGGUCUGAGGGGAGGAUGGAGGCCUGUUGUGUAACCCAGUUUAGACUGACGUCUGAGGGGAGGAGGGAGGCCCGUUGUGUAACCCAGUUUAGACUGAUGUCUGAGGGGAGGAGGGAGGCCUGUUGUGUAACCCAGUUUAGACUGAGGUCUGAGGGGAGGAGGGAGGCCUGUUGUGUAACCCAGUUUAGACUGAGGUCUGAGGGGAGGGAGGAAGGAGGCCCAUUGUGUAACCCUGUUUAGACUGAGGUCUGAGGGGAGGAAGGAGGCCCGUUGUGUAACCCAGUUUAGACUGAGGUCUGAGGGGAGGGAGGAAGGAGGCCCAUUGUGUAACCCUGUUUAGACUGAGGUCUGAGGGGAGGAGGGUGGCCUGUUGUGUAACCCAGUUUAGACUGAGGUCUGAGGGGAGGGAGG